AAGAAAAAAAAAAAAAAAAAAAAAAAAAAAAAAA
rnacentral:ribozyme from 1 species